UUAAACCUCAAGCCGCAUCUGUUUGCUUUCUUACUGGAUGUAAAUAAGAUGAUUUCCCUCAACUUCUAGCCGUCUUAUUUCCACGUUGUAUCUUGUGUAUAUAACAUAUGUGAAAAUAGAAAACAAAGUGCAAAGUGGUUUAAAGAACAGGCACAUUGUGAGUUUAAAAUUGUUUACUGACCCAACAACUGCUAGACGUGACUUCGAGCAGCAUCUCUGCUAAUUACAGCUAACAGCCUCCAGGUCCCAAUGCUUGACAUAACAUCAGCAAAUAGAAGAGAAGGAUGAAAAGAUGCCUGCCUAGCUUGGACUUGAAGGACUCCCUCCAGGACCAAGCAGGAAACCACAGGAAUGAUGUCCUGAGAUGUUUGUGGACUUGAGACCCAACUCCUCUUCAGUUCCAUCAAAGCCAGAGAAGACCAGAAAGGAUCCUCUGCCAUGUUUCAUUAUGUCCAGUCUUUCCUGAAUAUCUACAAUAUGGAAGGGGGAAGAAGUUUCUGGAAGGUGGUGAAGAUGCCACAGUUUGAAACAACCACAGAAUCCUGGAGACAGGAGCUCUGACCAGGCAGUUUCCUCCAUAUUUCUGAAUGGUGCGGAUGAUGUGGAAGGCGAUCUCACUGGCACCGCCUUUAGGGUGUGGCAGCAGCCUCCUGCUUGGUAAUGUUGUUCCAGCACCAGGACUUUCUUCCCUGCUUUGGCCAGUGUGGCUCCAGCUGCCAACCCACCAAUACCACUCCCAAUUACAAUGACGUCCAGGUUCUGGGGCACUUUGUCAAGGCGGAAACCUGGACAGAUACAUGCAGAAAGUUUUUUAAAGGUAACAUUUAUCUUUCUAUUUCCGACAGGAUAAAUAAAGAGGCAUUGUCAUGAACAAGUGCUAAAAUGUGUUGCAUAAUUGGGUGCAUAAUACAUUCUGAAGGGCGCACUGGCACCUCUCCUGUCAUAAAUAAAUGGCUGCUGGUGGUAGAUUAGACUGUGAACACAAUCUCCUGGUCCAUUAUCUAAUUAAGAUAAAGCCUACAGGUGACAAACAGUUACUGUACCUCUGCUAAUUUAGAUCUAAUCAACAGGUAAUUUAGAUAGAACUACAGAAGAACUAUAGUGAAUUUAUUGUAUAUAUAGUAUCCUUUUUCAAUUCUGUUUUAUGGCCUACUUUUGUAUCCUUUGAACUAUUUUAGGUUAACUUUGGCUUAGGUUUUUACAGCACAACCAAGACUCAUUUGAAUUGGUGUCCGAGGACAGUUUUAAUGUCGUAGAAGACCGCGUUGAAUGCAAUUUGAAGUCUUUUAACUAUUGCAAAAUGUGGACACUUGUUAGUAUAAUAUGGUGUAGUUCAUCUUCAGACUGACUAACACGCUUCAAUAUUGUACCCACAUGAGUUCGCCAAAAAUAUAUGUAAGUAUGAGGCUACAGCCAACACUGUCAUCUCUAUUUCCCAUUAAUAUAACACAUGAGACCUUCCUGAACAUUAUUUGCAAAGUCUAAAAAAUGACUUGAUAUUAAUUGCUAUUUCUGUGGACUUGAUCAUGAAACAACCAUACACUUGUUUCAGAGCUUGUUUUUAGAGCUUCCUUUUUGGAAGGACUGUCCAAUAUAUCUGUAACAUUUCUGUCCAUUUUUUAUUACUGUACAAAGAUGUGCUGUUUGAUUUUUAUGUCUGCAUUUUAGAAGAAAACUAAUAUAUCAUGAAUUUUAUUUAACUUAUUCUCAUUUUUUGUUUACUUUU